rnacentral:tRNA from 1 species
GCGCUUUUAGCUCAGUGGCAGAGUAUCGCCGCGACAUGGCGGUUGUCCGCGGUUCGAUUCCGUGAAAGCGCACCA